CAAUAGCGUAUAUUAAAGUUGUUGCAGUUAGAACGCUCGUAGUCGGAUUUCGGGGCGGGCCGACCGGUCUGCCGAUGGGUAUGCACUGGUCGGCGCGUCCUUCCUUCCGGAGACCGUCCCUACUCUUAACUGAGCGGGGGCGGGAGACGGGACUUUUACUUUGAAAAAAUCAGAGUGUUUCAAGCAGGCAGCUCGCUCUUGCAUGGAUUAGCAUGGGGUAAUGAAAUAGGACUUUGGUGCUAUUUUGUUGGUUUCGAACACCGAAGUAAUGAUGAGAAGGGACAGUCAGGGGCACUCGUAUUCCGCCGAGAGAGGUGAAAUUCUCAGACCAGCGGAAGACGAACCACUGCGAAAGCAUUUGCCAGGGAUGUUUUCACUGA
rnacentral:rRNA from 1 species